UACGAAGGGUGCAAGCGUUGCUCGGAAUUAUUGGGCGUAAAGGGUAGGUAGGUGGUUACGUAUGUCUGAGGUGAAAGCCCCGAGCUUAACUUGGGAAGUGCCUUGGAAACGGCGUAACUAGAGUAUUGGAGAGGUUUGUAGAAUUCCUGGUGUAGCGGUGAAAUGCGUAGAGAUCAGGAGGAAUAUCAGAGGCGAAGGCGACAAACUGGACAAUUACUGACACUAAACUACGAAAGCGUGGGGAGCAAACAGG
rnacentral:rRNA from 1 species